GAGGGCCUCGCGCCCCCGGGGGCUCCCCCCCCCGCUCUUCACCCCAUGUCUAUACGUCCACGUUGCUUUGGCGGGUCUUGGGGUUGUGCCCAUGCCGGCUCCGGGCGUCAGCCUGCGCCGGCGAGUACCCGCCGGGGGACCAUUCCACUCCAUUUUUCAGUGCCGUCUGAGUGAAAACACAAUAAUCAAAACUUUCAACAACGGAUCUCUUGGCUCUGGCAUCGAUGAAGAACGCAGCAAAAUGCGAUAAGUAAUGUGAAUUGCAGAAUUCAGUGAAUCAUCGAAUCUUUGAACGCACAUUGCGCCCUUCGGGAUUCCGGAGGGCAUGCCUGUCCGAGCGUCAUUGCACCCCUCAAGCCCCGCUUGGUAUUGGGUCCUCGCCCCCGAAGCGUGCCCGAAAAGCAAUGGCGGUCCGGCGAGACUUCGAGCGUAGUAAUUACCAACCCGCUCCGGAAGGUUUCUCGCAGGGACCCGCCUCGCCCCCCCAUAUCAAUGAUUGACCUCGGAUCAGGUAGGGAUACCCGCUGAACUUAAGCAUAUCAAUAAGCGGAGGAAAAGAAACCAACCGGGAUUGCCUCAGUAACGGCGAGUGAAGCGGC
rnacentral:rRNA from 1 species